rnacentral:rRNA from 1 species
AGCAGCCGCGGUAAUUCCAGCUCCAAUAGCGUAUAUUUAAGUUGUUGCAGUUAAAAAGCUCGUAGUUGAAUUUCGAGACCGGUUUAUUGGUCGUGCUUUUGUACGUACUGGUAUUAUUGGUUUCUCCUUUCUGACGAAUCUUAAUGCCAUUAAUUUGGUGUUUUGGGGAAUCAGGACUGUUACUUUGAAAAAAUUAGAGUGUUUAAAGCAGGCUCACGCUUGAAUACAUUAGCAUGGAAUAACGGAAUAGGACGUUUGAUUCUAUUUUGUUGGUUUCUAGGAUCGACGUAAUGAUUAAUAGGGAUAGUUGGGGGCAUUAGUAUUCAAUUGUCAGAGGUGAAAUUCUUGGAUUUAUUGAAGACUAACUACUGCGAAAGCAUUUGCCAAGGAUGUUUUCAUUAAUCGAGAACGAAAGUUAGGGGACCGAAGACGGUCAGAUACCGUCGUAGUCUUAACCAUAAACUAUGCCGACUAGGGAUCGGAUGAUGUUAAUUUUUAAUGACUCA